AGUUUCUUUAAGAAGAUUUAAUUUUCGUCAAGGACAUGUUCCAACCAUGAUUCCAUCACAAAAAUCAUAUCCAGGAAAAUAAAGUACAAAUAAAAAUAAAAACGAAAAAUAAAGGAAAUCAUAACAUGAUAAUGUUUACAUGAGACCAUCAAACAUAUUGGCUACUGCCCAACAGUCACACUUGGUUCUCUCUCCAACCCCCCUUUUUGUCCAAACAAUUAAACUCUUUAUAGUUGAGGCUCCUCCCCUCAAAUUCAAAUGUACCAAUGGCAAGACUCUCCAAUACCAUCUACAUAGUUUAUUUAGCAAAUCAUGUUUAACAUCAACAAUUAAACAUGAAUAUUAGCUUCUUUAUCAAGCUCCAUUAUACUCAUAAAACCCAAGGAAUUUUAGGAAUCCUAAGACAUACAUUUAAAUGUAAUCGUUUAAACAUUUUCCAUACUUGAACUCCUCCUCCUCUAAGAAGGUAUAAAUUCCUGUUCGCGAGCUCCUCCUAUUAGGAAGUUCCAGGAAGAAGGUAAGAAAAGAUUUCACCAUUAAUCAACAAAUCCUUAUUGCCAUAAUUUAAAUUCAUCUUUCUCUUAUUUACAGGCACAACCGGCUAAGACCAACAAACAUGAGUUGCAAUGGAAUGUGCACCUUCCAUUCUACACAUGCGGAAAUAAGUUAUCAUCAUAGCACCACUUGAAUACGGAAUCGACCGCAGGAGGCGGAGUCAUGCAUUCCUCCAGAUGAGGAUCCAGUGAAAACACGGGUGGAACGAAAACACGAUGCGCUUCAGAAUCCAAAGGCACUCAGAACCGAGACGGCAUGGACAUCUUAAAAAAAAUUGGUUCGGCUGCGAUGGAUGCGGCCGUUGCUGUUGUGGCGGUUCCUGUAUAUAUCGUGAAAGGAACAGUGACAGGCAUAGUGGACGGAGC